UUGUUUUGAGCUGUUCACGUUGCGGAGCAGCGGUUGCUGCCUGCUGCUCCGACGUGGCCCGCUCGGGAUUCCUUAUAGACCGCCGAGGCCCUUGGAUCGAUUUUGUGACAGCACUCAUGUGUGACCACUCUGUCUGUUUUUCAUCUGAGCAGCCCAGUUGAAUUGGAAAGUACUUUCGUAGAAGAGCCACUCAGCUGUGCCUAGAGGGGCAGACAAGAAAAGUCCCAACCAAGUCAGGCAGAUGCUUGAAGGAAGUCCAGACCAGCCUGGCAGCAGAUGAAAGGAAUUAGUCUAUUAAAGCAGUCAGAAUCAGGAAGAAGUUCUAACAAGACGGCACUGGAAGAGGUUUGGCAAGCC